rnacentral:rRNA from 1 species
GGGGAAUAUUGCGCAAUGGGCGAAAGCCUGACGCAGCGACGCCGCGUGAGGGAUGAAGGUUUUCGGAUCGUAAACCUCUGUCAGAAGGGAAGAAACCGCACCGUGCUAAUCAGCGGUGCCUUGACGGUACCUUCAAAGGAAGCACCGGCUAACUCCGUGCCAGCAGCCGCGGUAAUACGGAGGGUGCAAGCGUUACUCGGAAUCACUGGGCGUAAAGAGCACGUAGGCGGCCUUGCAAGUCAGAUGUGAAAUCCAACGGCUUAACCGUUGAACUGCAUUUGAAACUGCAAGGCUAGAGUAUGGGAGAGGUAGGUGGAAUUCUCGGUGUAGGGGUAAAAUCCGUAGAGAUCGAGAGGAAUACUCAUUGCGAAGGCGACCUGCUGGAACAUUACUGACGCUGAGGUGCGAAAGCGUGGGGAGCAAACA